UACGUAGGGGGCAAGCGUUGUCCGGAUUUAUUGGGCGUAAAGCGCGUGUAGGCGGCUUGGUAGGUCAGCUGUGAAAACUCGAGGCUCAACCUCGAGCUGUCGGUUGAAACCACCUUGCUAGAGUCCGGAAGAGGAGAGUGGAAUUCCUGGUGUAGCGGUGAAGUGCGCAGAUAUCAGGAAGAACACCAAUGGCGAAGGCAGCUCUCUGGGACGGUACUGACGCUGAGACGCGAAAGCGUGGGGAGCGAACAGG
rnacentral:rRNA from 1 species